GACGAACGCUGGCGGCGUGCUUAACACAUGCAAGUCGAACGGAAAGGCCCUGCUUUUGUGGGGUGCUCGAGUGGCGAACGGGUGAGUAACACGUGAGUAACCUGCCCUUGACUUUAGGAUAACUUCAGGAAACUGGGGCUAAUACCGGAUAGGAGCUCCUGCUGCAUGGUGGGGGUUGGAAAGUUUCGGCGGUUGGGGAUGGACUCGCGGCUUAUCAGCUUGUUGGUGGGGUAGUGGCUUACCAAGGCUUUGACGGGUAGCCGGCCUGAGAGGGUGACCGGCCACAUUGGGACUGAGGUACGGCCCAGACUCCUACGGGAGGCAGCAGGGGGGAAUAUUGCACAAUGGGCGGAAGCCUGAUGCAGCAACGCCGCGUGCGGGAUGACGGCCUUCGGGUUGUAAACCGCUUUCGCCUGUGACGAAGCGUGAGUGACGGUAAUGGGUAAAGAAGCACCGGCUAACUACGUG
rnacentral:rRNA from 1 species